rnacentral:rRNA from 1 species
UUUUCAUCCUGAGUAACGUAGCUAACGCGUGAAGUCAGCCGCUGGGAGUACGGUCGCAAGAUUAAACUCAAAGGAAUUGACGGGGACCCGCACAAGCGGUGGAUGAUGUGGAUUAAUUCGAUGCAACGCGAAAAACCUUACCUACCCUUGACAUGUCACUAACGAAGUAGAGAUACAUUAGGUGCCCGUAAGGGAAAGUGAACACAGGUGCUGCAUGGCUGUCGUCAGCUCGUGUCGUGAGAUGUUGGGUUAAGUCCCGCAACGAGCGCAACCCUUGUCUUUAGUUGCUACGCAAGAGCACUCUAAAGAGACUGCCGGUGACAAACCGGAGGAAGGUGGGGAUGACGUCAAGUCCUCAUGGCCCUUAUGGGUAGGGCUUCACACGUCAUACAAUGGUGCAUACAGAGGGUUGCCAACCCGCGAGGGGGAGCUAAUCUCAGAAAAUGCAUCGUAGUCCGGAUCGUAGUCUGCAACUCGACUACGUGAAGCUGGAAUCGCUAGUAAUCGCGGAUCAGAAUGUCGCGGUGAAUACGUUCCCGGGUCUUGUACACACCGCCCGUCAUACCAUGGGAGUGGGUUUUGCCAGAAGCCGUUAGCCUAACCGCAAGGAGGGCGACUGCCACGGCAGGGUUCAUGACUGGGGUAAAGUCGUAACAAGGUAGCCGUAUCGGAAGGUGC